AGGAAAUUGGUGCAAUCGUUGUGUUGGUUGUUCUUGUAUUAGCAGUUUAUUGCCUUGAGAUAGUGUGAAUGGUUAUGCUUUUCAAUAUACAGUUAUUUCCAAACAUGAAAGAAAUGUGUGGAUGAGAGGGUUAUGUUCUCUUUAGAAAUAAUUUGCAACUACGCAGUCAUUGCGUAUGCCUCAUUAGUACUAAAAAAUUGAGACGGGUUUAUUAGUUACGCGCAAGUGGGUUACUCGGUGUGAACCAGAACACCCAGCUGAUGAUACUGGGACUUAAGUAUUAACGAGAACAGUAGUGUGGCUAACAAGCUGUAUUCCACAAGUCCACACUGGAAUAGGACAUAGCCUACCAAGAGCCAUACAAGAUAGUUUUUGCAGAAUACCAGUUUACAAUCUAUGCGGAGUUCCUUUCUCAGAUUGUUUGUCUGCUGCCAUGGAAUACAACAAUGGAGCAUUCUCCACAGGGGAGGAAAACCGGUAUGAAGAGAACAUGCUGGCUUUGUCGUUUCUUCGCUGUCUGAGGCGUUGGCUACUCUUCCAGUUAUCUGCCAACAGUGGGAUGCGCGAAAGUUCGACAACAUGGUGCUGGUGUGCUGACCCGGGGGAGCCCCAGGGGCACACACCCUGCUUGCCCCGGUCAAGCACAAGACCUCCCGGAAAUACGUGAUACUAAACAGUGACGUGUGGCUGUCCUGCUGUGACUUGUCUCUCCUGCAGAUAAUCAGCAAAUUACUGGAGAUGGACAUGUUAUAUUUAUCUUGCUGACACUCGUGUCACAGUGACAGUGUUCUGCACCAGGAUGUGGACAGUGUCCCAGGGUCGGAGCAAAUGGCAGGCACUAGUAGAUGAAUAUGUCAGGAAGGAGGUGACCAGGUGCAGAGGAAUGUUCACCAAGCUGCACCUGGUCACCUCCUUCCUGAAGUAUUCUGACCGCCAGACUCAAGUACUACAGCGUGAGAGACAUCUGGGGCUAUGCGGAGCCCUGAAACUCGGCACGGGUGAGGCCUCCAGAAAGUGAAACAGUGGCUCUCACUGUUAAGAAGAUCCACCGAGCACAGGCUCACGACACACACAUCGUGAUGGCUAUGGAGCGGUUCAAAGUGCUGCGACAUGAGAUUCUCCAUUCCUGGGAACUAUCUUGCCCAUGGUGUGUACCCUUUACAGUAUGGUGGUAAGAGAAUAAUUAUUUUUUUUAAUUAUGCACUUAAACUUUUCUCCCAUGGAAUUACAGAAAAAAUUAUUGGUUAACCGCAGUCGGACAUUAUUGGCAAUCGUCAGAACAUAUUUUAAUUCCGUUUCACUAAAAUCUGCACUCUGAACCGCUCCACAGCCACCAUGAUGUGUGUUUCGUGAGCCAGUACUUGGUGGAUCUUCUUAGCAGAGAGGCUAUCAGCCAUCGGUGGCCAUCAUCAGAACAACUGAAAUCAGCAUUGGAUACAGCAGUGUGUGUUCAGCCCUUUAAAAUACUCUCAUUUGAUGAUUUAGUGUCGUAGUUCUGUGUAUUUUGAGAUGCAUGGUUUAUUGUAAAUGUAUUCUGUAGGUCUAAAGGCUGUUCCCAUUUUGGAACAAUGUAUUUCAUAAACAGUAUUUUCUAGGCUAGUCUCUUUAAUGGUAUACCUACAUAUAGAGAAACUCUAUUUUUCCAAAGCUUUUGGAACCAAUUGUGCAGUUUUCCCAGUUCAAAUGAGAUAUGGGUAACUAGUUAUUCUGCUUAUUCUUUAAGAAUAGCUACCUGUUUCUGUUGGGCACGAAUUGGGAUGGGGUGAGAGGUUGGGUUGAAAGGUAAACAGUUGGGUGAGUGUGUGGGGACACUGGGUUACCUUAGAUUUAGGCAAAGAUGAUUACAGGAGCGGAGGAGACAUUUUCUGGUGAACGAAAACUGCAUGCUAGCUGAAACUAAAACCUGUCACAUUUGCCUUUUGUGGGUAAAUGCUCUUACUGACUCAGUUAUGCUUAUUCAGGUUUCAUUCAUGAUCAGCCCUGCCAGCUUUACUUCAGACAGUACCUUUCUGCUACUUUCCAAACCUUACUGGAAUUCUCUUGCAUGCCUUGCUGUAUUAGUACUGGAAGAAAGGGUGUUGUGGAGAAAUCAUUUGCCCCCAUCCUAAUGAAGUGUUCUGGAACGAAUUUUUGCUUGACAGUGAAGGGUGUGCUGUUGAAAAACUUAGUUUAAUCCCAAUAGUAUUAAUUCCACAAGAUAAAAAGCAUACAGGAGAAUUUCUGUGAAGUUUGGAAAGUAGAAGAGAGGAAAAGUGUAGCUUUAAGGGUGUGUCGUGAGUUGUCUGGGUAACUCAGCUGAUACCAUUUCUCCACAAAAGGCAAAGGUUUCAGGUUAGAGACACAGCCCAUCUCACAUCUUAAAUUUGCCACAGCACACACUCUGCAAUACUACAUAAAAUUUCAAUCACAUAACUAGUAUUCUAAUGUGUGAAUGCUACUAGUAAUGCAAUAAGCAUGUGAGCACUUAGACUGCCCUGCAGCAGUGUACUUUGCAUGUGCUCUCCCCAUAACAAAUCUUGAGACAGCAAUAAGUCAUCAGAAUCAGGUCAUCCCUGUCAGAACCAGUCAGGCUGUCCCACUAAAAAUAGAUAAUGUCUUUAGUGGAGGUGAAACCUGUGCUAUUUACAACUAAACUUGAAAGUAUCAGAAGAACUGCAUAUGAAUCUCUCCCCAUUGUACAAAAAAUACUACUGCAUUGCUAUUACUGAAAAAAUGAAUGACUAACCUGCCCUAAUAAUGCCUGCUUGUACAGUGUAAUGCACAUAAGCAUGCCAGCUUACUAGACACAGGAGCCAGACCUGGAUCAGAUCCAUGCUGUAGGUCAACUGUCGGCUGGUACACUAGCUAGCCUGCUUGUUGUUUUUACGCAGUUUUCCUUGCUCAUUUGGGCAAGUGCUGGGCAGCUCCUUGAAUUCCACCUCAGAGAAUAUAUAAUGACCUAGCACAGAGUUUACAGGAUGCAAUGACUGCCUUAGAUUAGCUUCAUGACUCUGGUGUCAGGAAGAGGUUUAGAGUUUAAAUAAUAAAAUAAAAUUUGCCAGAUAUAUGAAAGCUCACACUCUAGCUGAAAGCUCAAUUUCCUUUUACUGAAGAAAAAACUGAUCAACACAUAAAGCUGAUAAUUCAAACUUUUGGGGGUGUCAAAAAAACCUUUUACUAAAUAAACUUCAAAUAUACUGAAGAAGGUGGAAGAUGCUAUAAUGUCCACAUGGACCUGCUUAACAAAUUAUAUUUAUAAUCAUAUUUUCAUUAUUUAGUCAAUUGCCACCUUUUGGUCCAAGUAAAUACCUUGUCCAAAUCAUUUUAGAAUUGUUUUUGAUCUUCUGAUAACUUAAUAGGUGGUGAAUCAAUCAUCUGCAAAUAAAGAUGCCUGCUCUGAUUGUUACCUGAAUUGUUCAUAUAGAUCAGGAACAGCAGAGAGCCUAAAAACUUAGAGUAGUGCAGAUAUCAUUGUGUUACUUAACGACUUUCUGUCAGUUACUAUGAACUGUGACCUUUCUGACAGGAAGUUGCCAAUCCAGUCACAAAACUGAGAUGAUACUGUAUAGGCACAUAAUUUGAAAGAUAGUUGUAAUUGUCAAACCUUUCUGUAAAUCUAGAAAUAGAGAAUCAAUUUGAGUUCCCCUCUUGAUAGCCUCCAUCACUUUGAAUGAAAAAGAACUAGUUGCAUUUCACAUUUUCAGAGUCUGUGCUGUGUCUGAAUAGAUAAAUUUCUUAGAGGUAAUCCAUAAUGCUCAGACACAGUAUAUGUUCCAUAACCUACUACAAAUAAAUGUCAGUGAUAUGUGUGUCUAAUGUAAGAGAUUAAUCUUAAUCCCUUUCUUGAAUAUUGAUGUGACUUGUGCAGCUUUCCAGUCUUAAGGUACAGAUCUUCUGUUCAGCGAGCCGUUGUGUAUGGUGGCUAACUGUGGAACUAUUAUACUAGCAUAUUCUUAAAGGGACCUAAUUGCUAUACAACUUGGACUGGAAGAAUUGCCUUUAUUAAUAGAUUUAAGUUGCUUCAGUACACUAUGACAUCUGCUUUGAAGUUGUUCAUGUUGGCAGCUGUUAUUGAUUCAAAUUGUCCAAUAUUUACUUAUGUCAAUGUUAGAUGCUGUAAUGUCUUUAAUAUUUAAGUACAUCAACCUGAAAUGCAUGUAAAUACUUCUUUAUCCUUCUGUAUAUGUCUUUGUCAAAGUUGUAUGACUUUGUGUACGUACUAAAGUGUAACAUAUGUAACAUGUUAGUGGUUACGGAAUGUAGUGUUUUAUGUGACAGAAAACAUGAAGUCCUUCCAUAACAGAAUGGUUUAGGUGGGAGUGAAAAGGUGAAUUUGUGAGAGUAAGUGUGCCAAGUGUUCGUGUGGUUAGGCUUCGAAGAGUAAAGAUACAGUGCUCAGUGAGAUAAGGAUUUGUGGAAAAAUGGAUUAAAUAAGACUACAAAGUGAAUUAUCUGCCACAGUAUAAUGGCAUUUAUUUGACUUGCUCUGAAAUUUGCAUUUCUGAUGCCAAGAACAAUUAGUCAGAGCACAUUACAUUAAGAGCCAUGGUUUCAUUGUACAGCAGUGUCAUAUAGCCACAGGUUAUCGCCUUUAUAUCUGCCUUCAGGCAAAAUAAUGUUUUAAGUUUGUAUAUGCUUGCAUGAACCAUGUUUUGCUGAAAUUUUCACAUUAUAAAUGCUUAAUUUCAA